GGCGAACGCUGGCGGCAGGCCUAAUACAUGCGAGUCGAGCGGGUGUAGCAAUACACCAGCGGCAGACGGGAGAGUAACACGUGGGAACGUGCCCUUCAGUUCGGAACAACCCAGGGAAACUUGGGCUAAUACCGGAUACGUCCGUAAGGAGAAAGAUUUAUCGCUGAAGGAUCGGCCCGCGUCUGAUUAGCUUGUUGGUGAGGUAAUGGCUCACCAAGGCGACGAUCAGUAGCUGGUCUGAGAGGAUGAUCAGCCUCACUGGGACUGAGACACGGCCCAGACUCCUACGGGAGGCAGCAGUAGGGAAUAUUGGACAAUGGGCGCAAGCCUGAUCCAGCCAUGCCGUGUGGGUGAUGAAGGCCCUAGGGUUGUAAAGCCCUUUCGGCGGGGAAGAUAAUGACGGUACCCGCAGAAGAAGCCCCGGCUAACUUCGUGCCAGCCGCCGCGGUAA
rnacentral:rRNA from 1 species